rnacentral:tRNA from 1 species
GCCCGGAUGGCGGAACUGGUAGACGCAUGGGACUUAAAAUCCCUGGGCCGCAAGGCCGUGCGGGUUCGAUCCCCGCUCCGGGCACCA